rnacentral:lncRNA from 1 species
UGAUAAAAGUUUGUCAAAACCUUUCUUUAAGAAAUAUAACAUUUCCUUUUAUAUCAAAACCUCGGGAUGUCAUGUUCCGAUACAGAUCAAAAGCAUAAACAAGACAUUAUAAGCCUUACGACAGUUAUUUGUAACUACUGGCCUAUAAUCCAAAAUUCACUCAUCAUCAUCAUCCGACUAUGCUCGAGGUCCUCUACCUGUAAUAUAAACAGUUGAGUGGGUCAGGCUUGGAAGCCUGGUGAGCAUAUAGGGUUUUCAACCCACAAUACAUAAAUUUAUUAUGUUUAAACAUCAAUCAAUCAACCUAAUUACCCCCAAACCCCAUUAUUUUAUUUAUUUCUUAAGGGUUUACCCUAAGAAUCAACUAUCCCUCCUUCCUAAGGAUUUAUCCUAAGGAAUAGACACAAAGUCCCCUCGUCACCGGGGUUUAUACAACGGGCACUAAUUCCAUAGCUGCCAAAGUUUAUUCAACAUGUGCUAAGUCCAUAGCUCUCAUUUAUUGACAAUAUAUAUUUAUAGGUGUUCUCUCCUGCAAUACAUGUCAAUGGGUUUUAGAGUACAACAAAUGAACAUAUAGUUCAUUACACCUACAGGUUGCGGGUCUGCUAGUGUUCCAUAGAUUGUCUAGAAUAGUCCAUGGUUGUCAUCCAUACUCUGCUGAAUGACUACAACAACAACAACAACAACAACAACAACAACUUCGAGGCCUCUCACCUUUCUAACACACCUCAACUAUUUCAUCUACCCAUGUUCUACCCAACAUAUUUUGUAGAUAAAAAGCAUAUACAGUUUAAAACUUGUAUAAAACAUCAAUUGAACAGUCACCUUAAUUAAACAAUUAAUAUAUUUACACAUAACACGUAUUUCAAGGUAAAUACUUCAUAUCUAUGUGUAAAUUGAAAGUAACUACACACUCACAUGAUUUAAUGAAAACCGGGCAGCAAUUCGUUUCCUAAAACGAUCGUUUCUAAUAAAACCGGGAGUUUUAUUGAGAAACCAGGCUCUGCGAAAGGUCGGGCUUCGAAACCGAAAAGAUAAAUUUUCCAGGCUUCACGGGCACUUCGUGGCGUAUUCCGGGGCUUAUAAUCGAUACCGGGGCUUCGGGGGGUGAUAAUUUGAAAGAAAUAUGGAGAAAGGGGCUAAAAAUGACAAGUUUUCAAAAUACCCCGGGGAGGUCUCGCACCCUACUAUUUAUAGGGAAGAGCUUCUGAUCGAACGGCUGAGAAGGAGCCACACGUCGCAGAUCCGAGGGUUCGCAGGCGAAGGCUCGCACGAGGGCUGCGCGUGCGAAGGGCUGCUGGUAGUCUGUGAUUGAUCCAAGGCGUGUGUCCGAUGCGCAGGUGGUCAGCAUGUGCGAGGGUCUCAGUGGCACUCGCUGAUUGGACCGCGGAGUCGUCAUACAUGUGCAAGGCUCGGAGCUAGUUGCGAGCUUCAGAUUGGUCAGCAGCCUCGUUUUGGACAGAGGCUCGGUUCGGAUUGGGUCUCCUUCUUGGUCGAAUCAGAAGCCUACACGCGGGUCAGAUCACGUGGGUUGCAUGCGAGGAUCACGUGGCUACUGUUCAUGCGAGGGUGACUCAGCAGACUUCAGUGACUCAACAGGACACGUGUCACUUUUUCAGCGAGGAUGACGUGGCAACUCGUGACUAUGCGAAUUUUCUCGAUUUUCGCGCCAAAACUUCUAAAAUCCAUAACCUUCACAUACGAGCUCCGUUUUUGACGUUCUUUAUAUGCACGCGUAGCUAAAAUUACGCUCUACAACUUCCGUUUAGACUUCGUUGGCUAAUUUUGACUUUAAAUUUUAUAUUAUUAUUUUUAACAGACCGGGACAGGAAAUCCGUUAAAAAUUCAUAACUUCUUCAUCCGACGUCCGUUUUCGUCAGACUUUUUACCGUUGUGCUCCUAAUGACGAGACCUUCAAUUCUCGUUUAGGUUGUGUCGGCUAAAAAUCGCUCGAUCUAAAAUUCGAGUUUUUAGCUGUCUACUGCUAAGCUGAAACUUCGAAAAAUCAUAACUUCCUCAUACGAAGUCAGAUUUGGGCGUUCUUUUUAUCGAACUUCUCGGUUUAACGAAUACUACGACUUUCGUUUAGAUUACUAAGGCUAAAAAGUAGUUUAUCAAAAACUCACUUUUUACGACAUUCGGCACCGUGCCGGUUUUGUCGCGAAACUUCGACAGGUCAUAACUUCUUCGUUAUAACUCGGAUUUCGGCAUUCUUUAUAUCCCCGAAAUCCUUGUUUCGACCACUACAACUUUAUGUAAAGAUAUCGGGCUUAUCUCACACUUUAAUUUUGACGCUUAUUUUUAUUUUUAAUUAAUUAAACCCUAAUAAUUAAGCAUAAAACACAUAAUUCACAUAAAAUUCACAUAAUUCCUUUUCAUUUCUUCUAAAUGAGUUACAAAGGUUAACCUAGACCAUUAUGUCAAUAUUAAUGCCUAGCCUAGAAACACGGGCGUUACAACUCUCUCCCCCUUAGGAUGAUUCCGUCCCCGGAAUCACACAACGACAAACAACUACGGGUAGCGACUCACUAUGUCACUCUCCGUUUCCCAGGUGGGAUUUGGCCCAUUUAUAUGUUUCCAACGUACAGGCACUAAAUCGACUAUCUUACGUUACAACUUCUUAGUCUUACGGUUAACGAUUGCCUCAGGUUCUCCAAUUAACCUCUUGUUCUCGUCCAACCUUAAUUCAGAAAUGGGAAUUAUGUCGGGCACACCUCCCGUGAACUUCCUCAAAUAACACACAUGAAAGGUGUUAAGAAUACUCUCUAGUUCUUCCGGUAAUUCUAGCUUGUAAUCUUGAUUCCGGAUUCUCUGAAGAACUAUAAAUGAUCCAAUAAACCUUGGACUCAACUUUCCCCUUCUACCAAAUCUUAUAAGUCCCUUCCACGACGAGACUUUAAGUGAAACCGAAUCUCCAACUUCGAAUGAUAUCGGUUGUCUUUUCUUGUCAGCAUAGCUCUUUUGAGCAGCUAACAUCUUUUUCCCUAAUCACUUACAACUUUUCAGCAAUCUAAUGGACUAUUUCAAGUCCCAUAAACUGCUUUUCCUCAGCUUCCAGCCAACAUGAUGGCAUCCGACACUUUUUCCCAUGCAAAACGUGAUAAGGUACCAUCUUGACACUUGAGUGGAAACUAUUAUUAUAGGUGAAUUCUAAUAAAGGUAAGUUUUCAUCCUAGUUACCUUGAAAUUCUAGGGUACAUGCUCUUAGCAUAUCCUCCAACAUUUGAAUCGUCCGUUCACUCUGACCAUCGGUUUGUAGAUGGUACGUUGUAUUUAAACACAACUUGGUACCCAAUUCCUCUUGUAGACUCCUCCAAAAUCUUGAGGUAAAACGGCUAUCACGAUCGGACACAAUCGUUAACGGAACACCGUGAAGCCUCACAAUUUCCUUCACGUAAGAAUUCGCAAGUUUAUCCAUAGACCAUUUCUCUUUGGCUGCUAUGAAAUGCGCACUCUUAGUGAAGCGAUCAACGACCACCCAAAUCAUGUCGUGACCGUUCCUUGUUCUGGGCAGUUUAGUCACAAAAUCCAUGGUGAUGUCUUCCCAUUUACCCAUGGGUACGGGUAAAGGUUCUAAACUCCCAUACGGUUUCUGAUGUUGUGCCUUAACCCUAGCACAAGUUACACACUCGGCCACAUACUUAGCAACAUCGAGCUUCAUCGUCGGCCACCAAUAAUAGGGUUUUAAAUCCCUAUACAUUUUUGUACUGCCGGGAUGAAUCGAGUACAUGGUCUUGUGAGCUUCUUCCAUCAGAAGAUCUCUUACUCCGCCCGUCUUAGGUACCCAAAUCCUAUCUUGGAAUACCUUCAACCCUUGGUUGUUUGUACCGAAUACUAACGUUUUGCCCAAACGUUCUUCCUUUCGGUCAUUUUUCUCUAAAGCUUCCUCUUGAGCUUUCUUUAUACUUUCCACAAUUGUCGAGACAACUUCAAUUCUCAACGCUCUUGGCCUUUUCUUUUCAAGGUUUACCUUCCGACUGAGAGCAUCAGCAACAACAUUUGCUUUACCAGGGUGGUAAAGUAUCUCACAGUCGUAGUCCUUGAGUAACUCUAGCCAGCGUCGUUGCCUCAUGUUCAAUUCCUUCUGAUUAAAGAGAUAUUGGAGACUCUUAUGAUCAGUGAAAAGUUUACACUUUGUGCCAUAAAGAUAAUGCCUCCAUAUCUUUAGGGCGAAUACUACCGCUGCCAACUCCAAAUCGUAAGUGGGGUAGUUCUUUUCAUGCUCUUUCAAUUGCCUCGAUGCAUACGCUAUCACCUUAUCCCUUUGGGUCAGAACACAUCCUAACCCAACUCCAGAGGCAUCACUAUAAACUGUGAAGUCAUCAACUCCUUUAGGUAACGAAAGAAUCGGUGCUUCACACAACUUCUUCUUUAACUUCUCAAAGCUUCCUAUGCUUCUCAUUCCAAGUAUAGACAGCUCCUUUGUGGGUCAAAGCUGUCAAUGGAGUCGCGAUCGAAGAAAAGCCUUGGAUAAUUCAGUAAUAAUAUCCAGCUAAUCCUAAAAAGCUUCAGAUCUCCAUAGGACUUUCAAUUGUAACCUUCGAGUUACAAAAUAAAUCCUUAUUGAGGACUCCUCCUUCUUCUUGGAAUAAGUAUUUUCCUACAUUUAUUGUAACAGACCGAUGGGUCAUGUUCUAAUCAUCUCUCAUUUUAUACUGCACUAGUUAGACUCAGAUCUCCUAGAGACAAAUUUCAGCACAAAUUAUACCUUCCUUCAUGUUCUAAUGUGAUACAAUCACCGUUCAACAUGUAUCAUUUCUAACUACCAACUUCUUUAACAAUGAGUGCGAUACUUCUAUUGAUCGCUUUGAUCAUCUUUCAUUUCAAUCUUCUGGCUUAAGUCAAAUGUUACAUCGAACUUGGUUCUCUGAACCACAUAAUAAACUCAUCGUAGUCGGACUCAAUUUGAUAUGACCUCUAAGGUCGGAAUAACAAUCAUCUUCUUAGUCAUUACCGAAACGAUGGUAACGACAGACUAGAACAAGACGGAAUCAAAUAAUAGCUUCUUGGUAACCUUGUGACUUUCCCUGAUCCAAGUGCGAGUCCUGUGCUUCCAGUAGUAUAGAUCUCUACUACUAUUCACACCUACUCAUACUCGUCCCAAGUACUGUCUCGCAGUCCCCAAGUCCUAAAAUCACAAAACAAUUUAACACAUACAAAUGUGUCCAGUUAAUCAUAAAAUUUCCCUAGACUCUACUAGGACUUCUUUCACGCAUAUCUUCAAUGAUCAACUCGACUUCAACUUGGUUUGUGAUGGAAAUUCCAGAUGAUUGGGACAACUUCAAAAAUUACACCAGCCAUUCUAUUCAUCAGACGAUAAAACCAGGGUUUAUUUCCUUGAAACGAUUACACAAAGGUUCAAGUUUACCCUAUACUAUGCCUCUCAUAGGCUAAACUACUUGUUACUAUUCACAUUACUACUUCGUAACUUGAUCUUCGGGUAUCAAGUCUUGACUUCUACUUCCUAGUGUUAUUAAUCGCUUCUUCAAGGAUAUCCUGAAAUUCCUUUGGCGUUGAUGGUGCACUUGGCCUUGUUACUUCAUUGUUCUUCUGACAAUUCUUAGAAAUAUGGCCUUCUUCUUUACAUCCGUAGCACACCUCCUUGGGAAUCGUACACUUAUUGGCGUAAUGCCCUAUUUCUCCACACUUAAAGCACUUCACCUUCCCGUCACAAUUCCCAGAGUGUUUAUUUUUGCACUUCCUGCACCAUUUUCCUUUAUCUCUUCUUUUGCCAAACUUUGAGGAUAUGUUGCUCUUGUUGGGCGUUGAAGACCCCUCAAAUUUCCUCUUCUUGCCAAUUUCAACUUUGUUGGCGGUUGUGUCAUUGAUAAUUUCUUCAACAGACUUAGCAACCCUAAUAGUUACCUCAAGAACAAAUGCCUGACGUACCGACACAAUAAGUUCAUCCUUAAUUUGUUGAAGUAAACGUUUUGUUUCUUCCAUCUGCUCACCUAACAUCGUACGUACCAUUGCCUGCACUCCAGUCAUCGUGAUUGGCUCAGGUUGUGGAUUAUCACUUCCGAACCCACUUUGAGUACUCGCCAUUUCGAUCUAUACACCAAUCGUAGGUGAAUUUAGAUCUUCAUUUUCGUUAGAUGUUAAGUCUUCGAAACGUUUAUAUGUUAGUUCCAAUAUCGUAGUCAUACGUUUAGAAUCCUACACACAUAAGGNAACUUUGAGGAUAUGUUGCUCUUGUUGGGCCUUGAAGACCCCUCAAAUUUCCUCUUCUUGCCAACUUCAACUUUGUUAGCGGUUGUGUCAUUGAUCAUUUCUUCAAUAGACUUAGCAACCCUAAUAGUUGCCUCAAGAACAGAUGCCUGACGUACUGGCACAAUAAGUUCAUCCUUACUUUGUUGAAGUAAACGUUUUGUUUCUUCCAUCUGUUCACCUAACAUCGUACGUACCAUUGCCUGCACUCCAGUCAUCGUGAUUGGCUCAGGCUGUGGAUUAUCACUUCCGAACCCACUUUGAGUACUCGCCAUUUCGAUCUAUACACGAAUCGUAGGUGAAUUUAGAUCUUCAUUUUCGUUAUAUGUUAAGUCUUCGAAACGUUUAUAUGUUAGUUCCAAUAUCGUAGUCAUACGUUUCGAAUCCUACACACAUAAGGUUUCCAGAUCCGGUUGGCAACAGACGAGAGAUCCGAACAAAUAAUAACAUCAUUAUAGCUAUAACACAAAAAAUUUAGCACAUAAAAGCAUUUUAGGCAUCCUUCCUAAGAUAAACUAGUGCUCGUGUCUAAAUUAUGGUAGACACUCAUCUCACAAUCAUCACUUAGCAUUCUAAGUUUAAGUCUAGAAAUCCUACAAUUUCUUAGUUCGCUUAAACUAAUGCUCUGAUACCAACUGUGACAUCCCCAAAUUUCUCGGCCAGAAAAGACCGAUUUAAUUUAUGCUUUUUAAAAUCAAAUCAGAGAAAUCUUUAUAAAAGAUGUUGCGGAAUUGGUCCCCAAAACAAAAUAUGAUAAAAGUUUGUCAAAACCUUUCUUUAAGAAAUAUAUCAUUUCCUUUUAUAUCAAAACCUCGGGAUGUCAUGUUCCGAUACAGAUCAAAAGCAUAAACAAGACAUUAUAAGCCUUACGACAGUUAUUUGUAACUACUGGCCUAUAAUCCAAAAUUCACUCAUCAUCAUCAUCCGACUAUGCUCGGGGUCCUCUACCUGUAAUAUAAACAGCUGAGUGGGUCAGGCUUGGAAGCCUGGUGAGCAUAUAGGGUUUUCAACCCACAAUACAUAAAUUUAUUAUGUUUAAACAUCAAUCAAUCAACCUAACUACCCCAAACCCC